rnacentral:rRNA from 1 species
CAGGGCCUACGGGGCGCAGCAGUAGGGAAUUUUCGUCAAUGGGCGCAAGCCUGAACGAGCAAUGCCGCGUGAACGAGGAAGGUCUUCGGAUCGUAAAGUUCUGUUGACGGGGAAAAAAGACCGGGAAAGGAAAUGAUCCCGGAGGAGAUAUUACCCGUCGAGGAAGUCACGGCUAACUACGUGCCAGCAGCCGCGGUAAUACGUAGGUGGCGAGCGUUAUCCGGAAUGAUUGGGCGUAAAGGGUGCGUAGGCGGUCGAUUAAGUCUGGAGUGAAAGGUACGGGGUAAACAGGUAUAGGCUCGGGA